rnacentral:lncRNA from 1 species
GGUUUUAGCCCUGUUGCAUGUGGCACUGGGCUGACAAGACAGGACCAUGGUGAUUCAGUGUGAUUCUGGUGCAGCAUCUCUGGCACCAGAGGGGCCUAAGGCGGAGCCUCCUGGGGCGUCCACAGGGCCCUGCCUGCCUCUCUGGGUGAGACCUGGCUGGGGGAGGCCCUGGCUGAGGAGCACUGUCUCUGGCACCGCCUCGGAGAGGAAAGGACAGUGCCUGUUUCUCUCCUGGCAGCUGUCACCGGCCCCUCGGAAGGUUAGGGGUGCGUGUGUGUAGGAGUGUGUGUGCCUUGGUGCAUGUGUGUGUGUGUGUGUGUGUGUGUGUGUGUGUGUGUGUGUGUGACAGGUCUGGGUGGUUGACAAGGCACAUAAGCCUGAGUGUCACUGUUGCCUCCACAGAUAUCCCAAUGCGGUUUUGCUCAAAUAUGGGUCGAGAUGGUAAGAAGCUCUUUGCCCCGUGUGGCUUCUGCUGGGUGAAGGGGAGAAAGUUCUGGCCCGCCUGGGACCCAGGAGGGAGAGGGACCAGGCCUCUUUGUCCCAACUCUGUCUCUUCACAGCACCAGCGUGUGGACACCUUCCUGCAAAAUCUCUUUGAGGACAACAUGCAGGUGGCUGGGCAUCACCCACUCCUGUCCCCUCCUGGCUGGGGCAAGGACGGACUCAGUGAGGACCUGCUUGGAGCUUUCGAUGCUCAGCUGGAGAACGACGACUCGAAUCCAGUCCUCUGCUCAACGAAGUCCGGCAGGGAGUCCGUUCUAGAGUCCGAAGGCCUCCUGGCCACAACCAGCCACAUUAUGCGCUAGCGGUCCGGGAGCCCAGGCAGAGCACUUUCAGACGCAUCCUUGAGCUGUUUGAGGAAAUGCUGAAGCGCCUGCAGCAGAGGUGGAGGGGUGCCCUGGCUUGGGUGCAGGAAAGGGCUGCUGCCUGCUUCCGGGGCUUGUGCAGGGCCCUUGAAGCUUUCUGGAGCCUGGUGCAGAGUUUUUGCUCCUCCAUGGGGCACGCCUUCGGGAGUGUCAUCCAGGUCUAAGGUGCUCCAGGUGAAAUAAGAGUUUCUAGAGCACAACCUCCCCCUGCCUUGGCUAAAAAGGCAGCUGUAAGCCUUUCCAGCUGUGCUCACCUCAUACCACCCUUCUUGUAAUAAUGUAGCAGCUGGGGAGUUCCCGUCGUGGCGCAGUGGUUAACGAAUCCGACUAGGAACNNNNNNNNNNNNNNNNNNNNNNNNNNNNNNNNNNNNNNNNNNNNNNNNNNNNNNNNNNNNNNNNNNNNNNNNNNNNNNUGAACUGUGGUGUAGGUUGCAGACUCGGCUUGGACCUGGCAUUGCUGUGGCUCUGGUGUAGGCCAGCAGCUGUAGCUUUGAUUAGACCCUUAGCCUGGGAACUUCCAUAUACCACAAAAAAAAAAAAAAAAAAAAAAAAAAAAAAAAAAAAAAGUAGCAGCUGGGUGCCCUCUGCCCAAGCCAGCAGCCCUGCUAAUGGUGUACCCAGCAUUUCUUAUCCGUUCCGCUUCUGUCACCUCACUUGCUCAGACAGGGAGGAAUACUGUGCUGGGGGAAGGGGGAAGGUCCGGGAUGCUUACCUGGAAAGAUAAGACCUUGACAUGUGUAAAAGCUGCCGAGAACAAAGACCUGGUACUCAGACUCUGGAGGUGGCUCCUCCGAGCCUGCACCGGUGCUGAAUAAAGCUUGCCUUUCCAUAUCUCCGAGUGCCGUUUGUCUCCUUUCACUGCCAAGGUUUUUGCGGUUUCCGCAACACAAGGGGCCCGGGAAGCAGCUUGGCGUCUCCUACAAGGCCUCAGGUGUCCUGCUUCUCAGACGGAAGCUUCUGAAGGGACCUUUAUCUGCUGCUCCCCCUCGACCGAGCCUCACGGCUCCCCUUCCCUCCUCCCUCUCCGGAAGGACUCUGCCAGCCAGCGCUUCUGUCCCACCCAGCUUCCUGCUCCAGCUGGGACCCGCCUGUCGCUCUAGAGCUAAUAUCCUAAUGAAAGUUGUUUGAGGAGUUCCCACUGUGGCUCAGUGGUUAAUGAAUCCCACUAGGGACCAUGAGGUUUCAGGUUCGAUCCCUGGCUUUGCUCAGUGGGUUAAGGAUCUGGUGUUGCCGUGAGCUGUGAUGUAGGUCGCAGAUGCUGCUCGGAUCCCAUGUUGCUGUGACUGUGGUGUAGGCUGGUGGCCACAGGCCCAAGUGGACCCCUAGCCUGGGAACCUCCCUAUGCCUUGGGUGCAGCCCUAGAAGAGGCAAAAAAAAAAAGUUGUUUGAAACCAGCAGGUGCCUGUGGGGUUGGGAGGCAGAGGGCCCGGUGCUUAUCAGUGGAAGUUGUGAGUCAGAUGCCCACCCCUGUGGGGGGGGCGGGGGGCUUCCUGGCUCUGGGGGAGCAAGGACAAGCCAGGCUGGCCCUCGAAUUAGUUCCUGGGGACCCUGGGCACUCACAUGGGUCGUGGAUUCAUGGUGAUGACGGCGACAUCUCAGGCCAGGGCCCCCAUUAUCCCGGAGCCUGAUGCAGAGCAGGGGCUCAGUAAAUGCCACCCCUGGGGCGCAGGGAGCUGGGGCCAGGGCCUUCGUCCCUAUUUGCUUCCCCGGGCCUCUCUCUUUGGGCCUCACUGCUCUAGCCUCUAGCUGGGGCCUCGGAAGCUCCUUGGUCUUUCUCACAAUAUCAGAGGCCCAGG